GAUGAACGCUGGCGGCGUGCCUAAUACAUGCAAGUCGAGCGGAAGUUGAAGAGCUUGCUCUUCAACUUUAGCGGCGGACGGGUGAGUAACACGUGGGCAACCUGCCCUGCCGAUCGGGAUAACUCCGGGGAACCGGUGCUAAUACCGAAUAGUUUUCGCCACCUCCUGGUGGCGUACGGAAAGCAGGUUUCGGCUGUCACUGCAGGAUGGGCCCGCGGCGCAUUAGCUAGUUGGUGGGGUAACGGCCCACCAAGGCGACGAUGCGUAGACGACCUGAGAGGGUGAUCGGCCACACUGGGACUGAGACACGGCCCAGACUCCUACGGGAGGCAGCAGUAGGGAAUCUUCCGCAAUGGACGAAAGUCUGACGGAGCAACGCCGCGUGAGUGACGAAGGUUUUCGGAUCGUAAAACUCUGUUGUGAGGGAAGAACAAGUACCAACUAACUACUGGUACCUUGACGGUACCUCACCAGAGAGCCACGGCUAACUACGUGCCAGCAGCCGCGGUAA
rnacentral:rRNA from 1 species